rnacentral:rRNA from 1 species
GAGACAGCAGUCGCCACGGUAAUACGAAGGGGGCUAGCGUUGUUCGGAUUUACUGGGCGUAAAGCGCACGUAGGCGGAUCGAUCAGUCAGGGGUGAAAUCCCAGAGCUCAACUCUGGAACUGCCUUUGAUACUGUCGAUCUGGAGUAUGGAAGAGGUGAGUGGAAUUCCGAGUGUAGAGGUGAAAUUCGUAGAUAUUCGGAGGAACACCAGUGGCGAAGGCGGCUCACUGGUCCAUUACUGACGCUGAGGUGCGAAAGCGUGGGGAGCAAACAGGAUUAGAUACCCCUGUAGUCCCUGUCUCUUAUAC